CCUACGGGAGGCAGCAGUGAGGAAUAUUGGUCAAUGGACGAGAGUCUGAACCAGCCAAGUAGCGUGAAGGAUGACGGCCCUAUGGGUUGUAAACUUCUUUUAUAAAGGAAUAAAACGAGGCACGUGUGCCUUUUUGCAUGUACUUUAUGAAUAAGGACCGGCUAACUCCGUGCCAGCAGCCGCGGUAAUACGGAGGAUGCGAGCGUUAUCCGGAUUUAUUGGGUUUAAAGGGAGCGUAGACGGGUUGUUAAGUCAGUUGGGAAAGUUCGCGGCUCAACCGUAGAAGUGCAAUUGAUACUGGCAGUCUUGAGGACAGUUGUGGUAGGCGGAAUUCGUGGUGUAGCGGUGAAAUGCUUAGAUAUCACGAAGAACCCCGAUUGCGAAGGCAGCUUACUAAACUGUGACUGACAUUGAUGCUCGAAAGUGUGGGUAUCAAACAGGAUUAGAUACCCGGGUAGUC
rnacentral:rRNA from 1 species